UACAGAGGUCUCAAGCGUUGUUCGGAUUCAUUGGGCGUAAAGGGUGCGUAGGCGGCGCGGUAAGUCGGGUGUGAAAUCUUGGAGCUUAACUCCGAAACUGCAUUCGAUACUGCCGUGCUUGAGGACUGGAGAGGAGACUGGAAUUUACGGUGUAGCGGUGAAAUGCGUAGAUAUCGUUUGGAACGCCAAUGGUGAAAACAGGUCGCUGGGGAUGAGCUGACGCUGAGACACGAAAGCCAGGGGAGCAAACGGG
rnacentral:rRNA from 1 species